GAAUCCCGUGAACCAUCGAGUCUUUGAACGCAAGUUGCGCCCGAAGCCUUCGGGCCGAGGGCACGCCUGCCUGGGCGUCACGCAUCGCGUCGCCCCCCCCACCCCCGGGCGGGGGGGCGGAGACUGGCCUCCCGUGCGCCUCCGUCGCGCGGCCGGCCC
rnacentral:rRNA from 1 species